AGGUCAGUAAAUAUGCAUGUGGUUUAUAUGCAACCAGAGGCCUCCUACACAAGUGCAAACAGCUGACUGCAAACCGUAAUGCUGCCAUAUAUGUCUCAGAUCUACCACUGCCAGACACUUCCAUGUAUGUUGAUGUUUCUGGCUUAGAAAAGGGAAAUGGGGAGUACCUUCAAGAUGUACAGGAGUCAGAGCUUCAUUCCAGAGGGGAGAAAACCUGAAAUAUUUAUAACGUUCACACUGCAGACCAUUUUUAGAAGAUACACUAAGGAGGAAGGACCUUGAAUACAGUUUUCAGACACCUCUGCAGUACCAUGGCUUACUAAGAUCACCAGGAAUGUACACUUUCAGUAAGAAGAAAAAAGAGGAACAGAAGUUCAGAGAAUGAGAAAACAAUUUGACUUUAAAUGAGAGAGGGAGAGGGAGAAAGGCUGCACAUUGCCAUAUCUUGUAGGAUGCUGGUGCUACCCAGGAGGAAGGAGGGUAGCAGAGGGUGGAGAGAGUAAAUGGCACCUCCACCUUUCUUUUCUGAAAUAUGUGUAUGAAUGAAACAAUUAUCUGGGUUGGUGAAGAGCACAAGACUAGGUCACCUGGUUCUCAUCCUCAUAUCCAACAACAACACUGUUUCACUUAAUA